CUUGGACAUACAAGGUAUUGUAAUAAGACUUUAAUUGAGUGCUAAAAGAAUGGAAUUACAAAAAAAGGCUUUUUUAAUUUUAAAAAUUAAAAUUAUUUUUUUUUGUGAAGAAACAAAAAUUUAAAUUAAAGACAAGAAGACCCUAAGAAUUUUUUUUUUUAUUAAAAAAAAAUUUUAUUUUAAAAAUUUAAUUGGGGCGAUUAAUUAAUAUUAAAAACUUUAUUAACAAAAAAAAUGAUCCAUUAUUAAUGAUUAUUUGAUUAAAAUACUCUAGGGAUAACAGCGUAAUAAUUUUUGAUAGUUCUUAUAAAAAAAAUAGUUUGCGACCUCAAUGUUGGAUUAGGAUUCUUUUUUAAUGAAAAAGUUAAAAAAAAAAGUUUGUUCAACUUUUAAAUUCCUACUUGAUCUGAGUUCAAACCGGA
rnacentral:rRNA from 1 species